GCCAUGACCUUCAGACUCGCUGGACGCACGCAGAAAAUCAACUCAGUUACACUACACUUCAUUUGGUUGGUAAUGUCUAUAAAUUUAGCUGUUGGCAAGAAAUGCAUUAGUUCUUGUAUGGGCACUGUCUGCAGCCUAAGUUUGUACUCUGAGGCUAAUCUACAUACUGCUAUCAAACAACUUCCAUACAUUUUUGGAGCCAUUUUAAAUAGAGAUGAAGUUUAUGACUCUCUGAUCAUGGCUGGUAAGAAAGCAGGGCUUACAUGGUCUAGAUGUCCAUCUCCUGCCGAAUAACUUGAAGCUCUGGUGAUAUGAAGGGAGAGUAAUCCUUGAAGGAUUAUGGGCACGACAUGGCCUAAAUUGUGCAGAUGUGCCAAAAACUCAAAACUCAAACUCAACCUAACAAGUAUAGUGGCAAAGUUCUUAAUGAAUAUAAUUCUUUUGAAUUGAAUGUUUAUGGAUUUAACUCAUACAAAAGGCUUUAAAUUUCAAUUUAUGGAUUAAUUAUGCUUUAUUCAUCACAUGAUUUCAUGUUUUUAUGACAUCACAGUUAGACAUCUAUACAUAUUAGGAGAAAAAAAAAACAUCACAUAUGGGCACAAGAAAAUAAGCAACUUGUUCUCAAAUGGCUUAAGUAGCUCAGAAAUAUUUGUAACAUUAGAUUAAAUGACUCUCUAAUAUUUUUAUUUUAUUUUAUUUUUUUACAUUUUUGGCUAUAACUAAUUUAUUAUAUUUGUUUUUUUAUUUAUUAUGUGCAAUAUAUAGAUCUAUAUAAUUUAUAUGGUUAUCCUUCAUAAAAUUUUUUUAUUGUUCUGUGAUUUUAUCCUUUUUUUUUAUGUUUUGGAAUGUUGGAUAUUUUUACAUAAAAUGUGUCCAUCAAAUAAAGGUUUGACUCCUGAAUAA
rnacentral:sRNA from 1 species